GAUGAAGAACGUAGUGAAAUGCGAUACGUAAUGUGAAUUGCAGAAUUCAGUGAAUCAUCGAGUCUUUGAACGCACAUUGCGCCCUCUGGUAUUCCGGAGGGCAUGCCUGUCCGAGCGUCAUUGCUGCCCUCAAGCACGGCUUGUGUGUUGGGCCCCGCCCCCCGAUCCCGGGGGGCGGGCCCGAAAGGCAGCGGCGGCACCGCGUCCGGUCCUCGAGCGUAUGGGGCUUUGUCACCCGCUCUGUAGGCCCGGCCGGCGCCUGCCGAUCAACCAAACUUUUUUCCAGGUUGACCUCGGAUCAGGUAGGGAUACCCGCUGAACUUAAGCAUAUCAAUAAGCGGAGGA
rnacentral:misc_RNA from 1 species